UACCAUUUUAUAAAUUGAGGGACAAUAUUUACACCACUAAUAAUUCAGGGAUGAUAUUGAUAAGUGGCAUAUUAUGGAGGGACAUAAAUUAUAAUUUUUCCUAAUUAUGAAU